ensembl:lncRNA
GUUAUAGUUGUCGUUAGUGAGAGAUUGGCAGACUUCUUUACAAGGGAAAGUGAGAAAUGUGUUUUAAAAGCAUGCUCAUGUUGACUGCCAUGUUUCUCCUGAGGCUGCCAGGUGUUCAGUGUGGAGUGAGUGUGACCUACUCCUCCACACAAGUCUGUGGCCUUAAAGGGGCAUCAGUGGUCCUGCCCUGCAAAUAUGACUAUUAUGGGGUUGGACAUUAUAUUGGAGGAGAGUGGUAUGAAAAGAAAAGAGGGAAAGUCAGAGGACACAGUAACUCAGAUUAUCCUGACUGCAGUCUGAAAAUAGACAAACUUUCAAAUGAUCAGUCUGGUGUUUAUCACUUUCGGUUUUACACAACCCUACACAGGAGUUGGAUAACAGCCAGACCUG